rnacentral:rRNA from 1 species
CCUACGUGAGGCAGCAGUGAGGGAUAUUGGUCAAUGGGCGCGAGCCUGAACCAGCCAAGUAGCGUGAAGGAUGACUGCCCUACGGGUUGUAAACUUCUUUUAUAAAGGAAUAAAGUGAGGCACGUGUGCCUUUUUGUAUGUACUUUAUGAAUAAGGAUCGGCUAACUCCGUGCCAGCAGCCGCGGUAAUACGGAGGAUCCGAGCGUUAUCCGGAUUUAUUGGGUUUAAAGGGAGCGUAGAUGGGUUGUUAAGUCAGUUGUGAAAGUUUGCGGCUCAACCGUAAAAUUGCAAUUGAUACUGGCAGUCUUGAGUACAGUUGAGGUAGGCGGAAUUCGUGGUGUAGCGGUGAAAUGCUUAGAUAUCACGAAGAACUCCGAUUGCGAAGGCAGCUUACUAAACUGCCACUGACAUUGAUGCUCGAAAGUGUGGGUAUCAAACAGGAUUAGAUACCCCAGUAGUC